UACGAAGGGGCUAGCGUUGUUCGGAAUUACUGGGCGUAAAGCGCACGUAGGCGGACAUUUAAGUCAGGGGUGAAAUCCCAGAGCUCAACUCUGGAACUGCCUUUGAUACUGAGCGUCUAGAGUAUGGAAGAGGUGAGUGGAAUUCCGAGUGUAGAGGUGAAAUUCGUAGAUAUUCGGAGGAACACCAGUGGCGAAGGCGGCUCACUGGUCCAUUACUGGACGCUGAGGUGCGAAAGCGUGGGGAGCGAACAGG
rnacentral:rRNA from 1 species